CUAGACGAAUUAGAUACGCUAACACCUGCGAGACAGGUGAUUCUAGCGGUCUCAUCAAAAUGUUUGUUUACUUUUGUUUUGCGGUGCGGUCGUGAACAUCGAGUGGCGGAACAAAUGUGAACAGGGCCCGGGUGUGACAAGUAUAAGCUGGACCCCCCGAGUGGAUCGUGUGCCUCAAGACCAGGGGCACAACUACCUAUCCUUGUUAAGCGCUUCCUUACCGAUGUCCUUGAUUUCAACCCAGCCCGAUUUCCCCGUUUCAGAGUUGGGCUGUUUCACCACCAUGAAAGACGAGAGCCACAGUGGAUGCUCAAUCAAGUAACAUUACUUCUAAUGGAAUCGCAGAAUGGGGAAGUCAAUUAAGCCAUCUCGCCUUCACCCACAGAUUUCGGAAUGAGAGAUGAGGCACAAAGAAAAUUGAAGCAAUGGCGAUUUCUCAAGGUAUCACUUGGUCUUGAAGUGACGGCGAUUCCGCUUCUCAAGAUUUUUGAUACAGCUGACUGUGAACAGCCCACAUCUUUGGCAACCAUACGUGAGGCGUUACCUUCUACAAGAAGUUUGAUAAUCCUCUCCUUGGUCUCAAGAGACAUCUCGCUUGUUGGAGCCAUGAUUCUUCUGAAUCCACUUGGUCCAGCAGCCCUCCAAGGUGUGAUAACUGCGUUGUUUUAACUGCUGACUAACGAGAUCUAAUCUGAGGCCGGGGCACAAUUAAGAAAAGGAAAUUGACUGGGUGUGUCUGUAUUUUCUACUCAAGUUGGAGUGAUUCUAUAUUUUUUUCUUCAGAAUGGAGUGAUUUUAUAUUUGCCUGCACUUGCUCUAUAAAAGUAACAUUUACUGUCCACCACAAUGUUUUUUCAUU